rnacentral:rRNA from 1 species
GAGGAAAAGAAACCAACAGGGAUUGCCUUAGUAGCGGCGAGUGAAGCGGCAAAAGCUCAAAUUUGAAAUCUGGCUCUUUCAGAGUCCGAGUUGUAAUUUGAAGAAGGUAUCUUUGGGUCUGGCUCUUGUCUAUGUUUCUUGGAACAGAACGUCACAGAGGGUGAGAAUCCCGUGCGAUGAGAUGAUCCAGGCCUAUGUAAAGUUCCUUCGAAGAGUCGAGUUGUUUGGGAAUGCAGCUCUAAGUGGGUGGUAAAUUCCAUCUAAAGCUAAAUAUUGGCGAGAGACCGAUAGCGAACAAGUACAGUGAUGGAAAGAUGAAAAGAACUUUGAAAAGAGAGUGAAAAAGUACGUGAAAUUGUUGAAAGGGAAGGGCUUGAGAUCAGACUUGGUAUUUUGUAUGUUACUUCUUCGGGGGUGGCCUCUACAGUUUAUCGGGCCAGCAUCAGUUUGGGCGGUAGGAGAAUUGCGUUGGAAUGUGGCACGGCUUCGGUUGUGUGUUAUAGCCUUCGUCGAUACUGCCAGCCUAGACUGAGGACUGCGGUUUAUACCUAGGAUGUUGGCAUAAUGAUCUUAAGUCGCCCGU